rnacentral:rRNA from 1 species
AGAGUUUGGAACCUGGCUCAGGAUGAACGCUGGCGGCGUGCUUAACACAUGCAAGUCGAACGGUGAACACGGAGCUUGCUCUGUGGGAUCAGUGGCGAACGGGUGAGUAACACGUGAGCAACCUGCCCCUGACUCUGGGAUAAGCGCUGGAAACGGCGUCUAAUACUGGAUACGAACCGCGACCGCAUGGUCAGUGGUUGGAAAGAAUUUCGGUUGGGGAUGGGCUCGCGGCCUAUCAGCUUGUUGGUGAGGUAAUGGCUCACCAAGGCGUCGACGGGUAGCCGGCCUGAGAGGGUGACCGGCCACACUGGGACUGAGACACGGCCCAGACUCCUACGGGAGGCAGCAGUGGGGAAUAUUGCACAAUGGGCGCAAGCCUGAUGCAGCAACGCCGCGUGAGGGAUGACGGCCUUCGGGUUGUAAACCUCUUUUAGCAGGGAAGAAGCGAAAGUGACGGUACCUGCAGAAAAAGCGCCGGCUAACUACGUGCCAGCAGCCGCGGUAAUACGUAGGGCGCAAGCGUUAUCCGGAAUUAUUGGGCGUAAAGAGCUCGUAGGCGGUUUGUCGCGUCUGCUGUGAAAUCCCGAGGCUCAACCUCGGGCCUGCAGUGGGUACGGGCAGACUAGAGUGCGGUAGGGGAGAUUGGAAUUCCUGGUGUAGCGGUGGAAUGCGCAGAUAUCAGGAGGAACACCGAUGGCGAAGGCAGAUCUCUGGGCCGUAACUGACGCUGAGGAGCGAAAGGGUGGGGAGCAAACAGGCUUAGAUACCCUGGUAGUCCACCCCGUAAACGUUGGGAACUAGUUGUGGGGUCCAUUCCACGGAUUCCGUGACGCAGCUAACGCAUUAAGUUCCCCGCCUGGGGAGUACGGCCGCAAGGCUAAAACUCAAAGGAAUUGACGGGGACCCGCACAAGCGGCGGAGCAUGCGGAUUAAUUCGAUGCAACGCGAAGAACCUUACCAAGGCUUGACAUAUACGAGAACGGGCCAGAAAUGGUCAACUCUUUGGACACUCGUAAACAGGUGGUGCAUGGUUGUCGUCAGCUCGUGUCGUGAGAUGUUGGGUUAAGUCCCGCAACGAGCGCAACCCUCGUUCUAUGUUGCCAGCACGUAAUGGUGGGAACUCAUGGGAUACUGCCGGGGUCAACUCGGAGGAAGGUGGGGAUGACGUCAAAUCAUCAUGCCCCUUAUGUCUUGGGCUUCACGCAUGCUACAAUGGCCGGUACAAAGGGCUGCAAUACCGCGAGGUGGAGCGAAUCCCAAAAAGCCGGUCCCAGUUCGGAUUGAGGUCUGCAACUCGACCUCAUGAAGUCGGAGUCGCUAGUAAUCGCAGA